GCAUUAUACGGCGAACUGCGAAUGGCUCAUUAUAUAAGUUAUCGUUUAUUUGAUAGCACCUUACUACUUGGAUAACCGUGGUAAUUCUAGAGCUAAUACAUGCUGAAAAUCCCGACUUCGGAAGGGAUGUAUUUAUUAGAUUAAAAACCAAUGCCCUCUGGGCUCCCUGGUGAUUCAUGAUAACUGCUCGAAUCGCAUGGCCUUGCGCCGGCGAUGGCUCAUUCAAAUUUCUUCCCUAUCAACUUUCGAUGUUUGGGUAGUGGCCAAACAUGGUGGCAACGGGUAACGGAGGGUUAGGGCUCGGCCCCGGAGAAGGAGCCUGAGAAACGGCUACUACAUCCAAGGAAGGCAGCAGGCGCGCAAAUUACCCAAUCCCGACACGGGGAGGUAGUGACAAUAAAUACUGAUACAGGGCUCUUUUGGGUCUUGUAAUUGGAAUGAGUACAAUUUAAAUCCCUUAACGAGGAACAAUUGGAGGGCAAGUCUGGUGAACGUUGCUGGCGCCAGAGAGAGCCGCCCCUCCGUAAACGAAGCGGCUAGUCGAGUGCUCGUGGCAGUAACGGGUGAGCACCGGCGAGACAACCUGGGUCGGGGGAGGCUAAGGGCCCCGGGCCUAUGCUAAUCCCGAGCAGAGCCGAUUUCCUACGGCCUGUGUAGAGCGCGCUAAGGUGUCGGUCCCGGGGCUCCCGCCAGCGGGAGUCCCCCGGGGCUUGAGGUACGUGCCAAUCCCCUGCGAAAGCAGGGCCCUGCGGAUUAGCACCCGUUAUGCGAAGCCGCAGGGGGCCUCCGAGCGAGGCAGUGAUCAUAUUGCUGUAAAUGGCCAGCAGCCGCGGUAAUUCCAGCUCCAAUAGCGUAUAUUAAAGUUGUUGUGGUUAAAAAGCUCGUAGUUGAACCUUGGGCCUGGCUGGCCGGUCCGCCUCACCGCGUGCACUGGUCCGGCCGGGCCUUUCCCCCUGUGGAACCCCAUGCCCUUCACUGGCCUUGGCGGG
rnacentral:rRNA from 1 species